rnacentral:lncRNA from 1 species
CCAGGCCUGGGCGGCUCCCUUGGCAGGGAGGCCACAAUUGUUCUCCACAAGCACUUCCCCCAGCUGCCUGCAGAAGGCCAGGCAGUCACCCGGCCAGCCCUGGACUGCAGCUGCGGCCGCGCCCUAGGCGCAUCCUGGGCUGAGGCUGGAACGCUGAGACGGAGAGGGGAAAGAGAGAGAAAGUGUGAAGCGAGACUCAGAGACCCCAAGAGAGACCGAGGACCAGGGAUGGGCACCCCCAACCCCCACACCCACGCUCAGACGGGAGAGGGGAGCCCAGAUGGCGCCCCGGGACCCAGCUCCACCAGCACCUGCCAGGUAAACAGCUUGCACCUGGGGCACCAGCAGACAGGCGGAGAGUGGGCGGUCCAGCCCCAGGCCUGCCUGCUGAAGGGCCACAGGAGGCUGCUGCUGCAAAGCCUUCCUGAGCCCACGGCUCUGUCAGCCUGGCCAGGUAAGGGGCAGCCCAAAGAUGAACACGGGGCCUGAACUCUGCGCCCUGGAGCCGCCUUCUCACCCCCCGGAAGCUGGCCUGAGGUCAUGUGAUGCGAAGAUGCCUCACAGGGCCGUUUUCAGCAACAGGGAGCCAGAAGCAGGAGAAGCAGGACACAGCAGGACCGCGGCCCGGAGGGGAACAGGUGGCUCCCCUACGCAGGUUCUGCCUCACCAGCUACCUUUUUUUGAAUCAUGGUAAAAUACAUGUGACAUAAAAU